rnacentral:rRNA from 1 species
UACGUAGGGCGCAAGCGUUGUCCGGAUUCACUGGGUGUAAAGGGUGCGCAGGCGGGUGGGCAAGUCAGAGGUGAAAUCUCACGGCUUAACCGUGAAACUGCCUUUGAUACUGCUCAUCUUGAGUCAGGGAGAGGUUGAUGGAAUUCCAGGUGUAGCGGUGAAAUGCGUAGAUAUCUGGAAGAACACCAGUGGCGAAGGCGGUCAACUGGCCCUCGACUGACGCUGAGGCACGAAAGCGUGGGGAUCAAACAGG